GAAUAAAUAUUCGACAGACAUUUCACACGUCUCUAUAUUUGUACAAAGUGUGUUUAUUAUGAUAAAAUAAUUUCAAUGAAAGUACGCUGGUACAAUACCGGUGAUAUACCUACCCUGAAAAAAGAAUAACAAUAAUAAAACUCGAGGGUUACUUCUUACAAGAUGGCGUUACUAUUGCGACAUUGAGUGGGUCUUGCGUUGGAGAAAAAAUUCUAUUAUAUAAAAAUCUCAGGCAGGAGUGACGGAAUCUGACGCCUUCGAUCCCAAAAACCGCACACACGUCCAUCUGCAGAUCAAUUUCACGGGUCUCCGCAAGUAAUAUCCGGCUGUUAACCAACGAAGAACGGUUUUUUUGGCGGCAGCGGCGGCGGCACAACGUCGUACGUGGAUUCGACAAUUUCGAACGAGCUGCUGCGGCGGGUGAGAACAACUCGUCGUCCUUCCCUUCGACGUCCGAUCGGUAAAAUGCUAGAUCACACACUAGCCUGGCUAAAAAGACGACUAGCCACGGCCUCGUCACGUGAUGAUUGCGUCACUCUACUCGAUUGCCCCACACCACCAGCUACGGCGAACCGGGCGGCCAUCUUUACCCAGUAGAAGAACAACGGACGGCAAUAGUUCUGCAGGUGAAGGGUGGGUGCAGCUGAUGGGGGGGAUGUGAACCACAGUUACUGUGAAUGGAACAGGUACCGUAAUCAACAGUCUUCCGGAACAAAACGGAGAAAAACAAAACAACAACUCACGAGUUUCGGUGUACGCAAUAGACGGAAUUCGAACAGAAUUACGAUCCGAAAAUAAAAAAAGAAAGCUGUGGUCAGUAA